rnacentral:lncRNA from 1 species
AAUAAAAUCACAAACGACAAGCUAACGUGAUAGUUAAAAAAAUCAGUAUUAUAACAAAUUUAGCCCUCAAAUUUUAUAUAUUAUAUGGAUUUAGUCAUAAUUUUAAAAAACCUAACACUCAAAAUUUACAAAUAUUCUCAAUUUAGUCCUAAUUCUAAAAAAUUCAAAAAAGAUAUAACAUACAUAAACAUUUUCAAAAAAAAAAAUUCAUAUUAAAUAAAAUAAAACCCCCCACCGGAUCUCUCCACCACCCCCCC